AAGUCGUAACAAGGUAUCCGUAGGUGAACCUGCGGAUGGAUCAUUACAACAAGUAUUUCAUACUUUCACCAUUUGUGCACUGUAGCGUGUCGUUGAGGCUUUCGAGCCUGGGCGUACGCGUAUUCUUUCACUAACUAAACUGAACACUGUAAUAUAUACAAAAAGCAUAAAACUUUUAGCAACGGAUCUCUAGGUUCUC
rnacentral:misc_RNA from 1 species